AAUAAGAUGGCUGAGUAAUAUAGGCGUUAGAUUGUAAAUCUAAAAACAAGUUAAACUUUCUUAUUA
rnacentral:tRNA from 1 species